AGGAGGAACCCAACGAAAUAAUCUGCCUGGUACCAUCAGAAAACCCAGAGCAGAAACUAGACCUGGCUGAAACCAUCUGCCAGGAGACUCCAGAAACUCCUGAUGUCAACAUUGAACAGGAACCAUCAGAAAAGCCAGAGCAGAAACUGGAGCUGGCUGUAACCAUCUGCCAGGAGACUCCAGAAACUCCUGAGAUCAACAUC